rnacentral:lncRNA from 10 species
CCAAAGUAAAAAAAAAAAGCAUCCACCUCUAAGAAGCUUUUCCCAUUUCUAGUCAUGUGCACAUUUUCAACAUUUUGGGGGUUUAAUCUCAGCUAAAAUAUUUGCACAACUGAUAUGGGAGUGCUGGGAAGGGAAGAGUGUGGUCCCUUUAAAUGAUAGGGAAAGGGGAAGGAAAGUUCUGGGCAGAGGAGGGCGUGGUCCCUGGCUAGGGCUCCACCCCCACGGACCUGGGUGAGGACAGGCACUCCUGCCUUCUAGCCCAAAUGCUGCAUUUUUCAAGACAACCCUGGCCCGCCAUGCCCCCAUCCUGGGCCUAUAAAAACGGGAGACCUUAAUGGGCCAAAGUGAGAGAAGCACUUACGCGGAAGAAGAGACAAGCGGCUGGUAGUCAGAGGGCUUCCAGAGGAGCACACUGGCAGGAAAGCACACCGACAGGCACUGGCAGGCCAGCAGGCCAUUGACCCAGCAGGCCAUCGACCAGCAGGAUGAAGCAGAGUUUGGCCGGGGCAGUUGGAGAAGAGCCAGGGCUUCUGAGCACCGCAAGGCCAGGGGAAAACCAUCUCCCUUCUGGCUCCUCCAUUGGCGGAGAGCUGCUUCCACUGGAUAAAACUUCGCACUCAUUCUCCCAUGUGUGAUCUGAUUCUUCCGGUACACCAAGGCAAGAACCCAGGAUACAGAAAGCCAUCUGUCUUUGCGACCAGGUAGCAAGGCCCUUUGCAUUCUUUACCUCUGGAUACCUACAAUGUGGAAGUCAGAGACUUUGGUAAAAAUCUAAACUCAUUGACUAUUUAAGGAUUCUGGGCAUGUGAGAAGAGAGACAGAUAAAUAUUUUUUGUGUUUUGUUUGUUUGGUUGGUUUUCGGUGAAUUGUUUUUUGUUUUUUUUCUUUGAGACAGAAUCUUUCUCUGUCACCCAGGCUGGAGUACAGUGGUGCGAUUUCAGCUCAUUGCAAUCUCCGCCUCUUUGGUUACAGUGAUUCUCAUGCCUCAGCCCCCCAAGUAGCUGGGACUACAGGCAUGUGCCACCACGCCUGGCUCAUUUUUGUAUUUUUAGUAAAGACGGGAUUUCUCUAUGUUGGCUAGGCUGGUCUUGAACUCCUGACCUCAACUGAUCCACCCACCUUGGCCUUUUAAAGUGCUGGGAUUACAGUCCUGAGCCACCGCACCCUGCCCAGGUGCAUACUUUUGAUGGGGAAAAAUAGGAAAGAGAUAGAUUUUUCUCUAAAAAUACUGGUGGGGCCGGGCGCGGUGGCUCACGCCUGUAAUCCCAGCA